CCCGCUGUACGACCAGCGGUCGUCUAGGAGGGCAUGCGUCACUGGUAACGGUGGGGUGUGAAGCCCCUCUGACAAUGUAGCCCCCAGAUGGGUGUGCCAGGCUGUGAGGGUUGGUACAGAUACUCGGAGCAGAACCGGGUUGAG
rnacentral:ncRNA from 1 species